rnacentral:rRNA from 1 species
UGGGGAAUAUUGCACAAUGGGCGCAAGCCUGAUGCAGCCAUGCCGCGUGUGUGAAGAAGGCCUUCGGGUUGUAAAGCACUUUCAGCGAGGAGGAAGGUGGUGAACUUAAUACGUUCAUCAAUUGACGUUACUCGCAGAAGAAGCACCGGCUAACUCCGUGCCAGCAGCCGCGGUAAUACGGAGGGUGCAAGCGUUAAUCGGAAUUACUGGGCGUAAAGCGCACGCAGGCGGUUUGUUAAGUCAGAUGUGAAAUCCCCGGGCUCAACCUGGGAACUGCAUUUGAAACUGGCAAGCUAGAGUCUCGUAGAGGGGGGUAGAAUUCCAGGUGUAGCGGUGAAAUGCGUAGAGAUCUGGAGGAAUACCGGUGGCGAAGGCGGCCCCCUGGACGAAGACUGACGCUCAGGUGCGAAAAGCGUGGGGAGCAAACAGGAUUAGAUACCCCUGGUAGUCCACGCUGUAAAACGAUGUCGAUUUUGGAGGUUGUGCCCUUGAGGCGUGGCUUCCGGAGCUAACG